AACGAACGUUAGCGGCGCGCUUAACACAUGCAAGUCGUGCGAGAAAGGGCUUCGGCCCCGGUACAGCGGCGCACGGGUGAGUAACACGUAGGUAAUUUACCCCCAGGUGGUGGAUAACCUUCCGAAAGGAGGGCUAAUACAGCAUAAGACCACGGCUUCGAAAGGAGCUGAGGUCAAAGCCGGCCUCUUCACGAAAGCUGGCGCCAGGGGAUGAGCCUGCGGCCCAUCAGCUAGUUGGUAGGGUAACGGCCUACCAAGGCGAAGACGGGUAGCUGGUCUGAGAGGAUGAUCAGCCACACUGGAACUGAGACACGGUCCAGACUCCUACGGGAGGCAGCAGUGGGGAAUCUUGCGCAAUGGGCGAAAGCCUGACGCAGCGACGCCGCGUGAGUGAUGAAGGCCCUCGGGUUGUAAAGCUCUGUGGAGGGGGACGAAUAAGGGCUGGCUAAUAUCCAGCCUGAUGACGGUACCCCUUUAGCAAGCACCGGCUAACUCUGUGCCAGCAGCCGCCGUAACAC
rnacentral:rRNA from 1 species